rnacentral:rRNA from 1 species
UACAGAGGGUGCUAGCGUUAAUCGGAUUUACUGGGCGUAAAGCGUGUGUAGGCGGUUUGUUAAGUCGGGUGUGAAAUCCCUGGGCUCAACCUGGGAAUUGCAUUCGAUACUGGCAAGCUAGAGUACGGUAGAGGGCGGCGGAAUUCCGGGUGUAGCGGUGAAAUGCGUAGAUAUCCGGAGGAACACCCAUGGCGAAGGCAGCUCUCUGGGACGGUACUGACGCUGAGACGCGAAAGCGUGGGGAGCGAACAGG